UUGGAGGGCAAGUCUGGUGCCAGCAGCCGCGGUAAUUCCAGCUCCAAUAGCGUAUAUUAAAGUUGUUGCAGUUAAAAAGCUCGUAGUUGAAUUUCGGGAUCAAUAUUUCGGUCAUGCCGUUGGUAUGCACUGUUAUCAUUGAUUUCUCACCUUCUAAAGAACCGUAAUGCCAUUAAUUUGGUGUUACGGGGAAUUAGGACUGUUACCUUGAAAAAGUUAGAGUGUUUAAAGCAGGCUCACGCUUGAAUACAUUAGCAUGGAAUAAUGAAAUAGGACAUCCGAUUCUAUUUUGUUGGUUUCUAGGAUCGAUGUAAUGAUUAAUAGGGAUAGUUGGGGGCAUUAGUAUUCAAUUGUCAGAGGUGAAAUUCUUGGAUUUAUUGAAGACUAACUACUGCGAAAGCAUUUGCCAAGGAUGUUUUCAUUAAUCAAGAACGAAAGUUAGGGGAUCGAAGACGAUCAGAUACCGUCGUAGUCUUAACCAUAAACUAUGCCGACUAGGGAUCGGAUGAUGUUAAUUUCUUAAUGACUCAUUCGGCACCUUACGGGAAAC
rnacentral:rRNA from 1 species